AGAGAGAGAGAGAGAGAGAAAGAGAGAGAAUCCCAAGCAGGCUCUGUGCUGUCAGCGAAGAACCCGAUGCAGGGCUCCAUCUCACAAAUCGUGAGGUCACGACCUGAGCCAAAGUCAAGAGUCGGACCCUUAACCCACCGAGCCACCCAGGCGCCCGAAAUUUCUUUUUUUCAACAAGUGUUUCUCUGGUGCCACAUGUGUGCUGAGCACUGUCCAGUAGCUAGGGACUAAAAAAGCUAUUGAUAGGAUUCAUUCACAGAAAGAAGCAGGAAUAGACGCAAGGGCUGGAGCUGGGAGGGAUGGGGGGCGAGGGGGAAUCCCUCCAGCGGCCCAGCCCCGCCUCCCGAGAUGUGGCCCGCCUCCUCCCUGCCCUACACUUUCUACCACCUGCCUUCCGCCUUGCAGGGAGGCUACCACCGGCUCCGGGAAGCCCCUCCCGCAGACCUGCCGCUCCCCUGACUCAGAAGGAGCUGCUCGACCGACAGAUACCAAGGUCGUCUUUGCGCCGGCGUGCGACCAAUUUCAUACGGUAAGGUCUCGGAGUUUUUAGGGAAAGGGUCUUGCUACUUUGCCUUGCCUCAAGAAGACCCUCCGCCAAGAGGUCCCUUCCACAGGCCCCUCUUGACGGCACCCCCGAUCCUCUUUGGUCCCGUCUUUAGUCUCCGUUAUGUACAAAAGCGGAGACCGACCGCCCGGCGCGGCUUCGACUCUCGGCGCGCGGAAGCGAUCCCGGGGUCCAGUGGGCCCGCUUUAGCCACGCCUCCGCGGGCGGGAAAAGGCGGGGAAUUCAAAUUAGGAACGGCGUUGGGUGAGAGCGACGAAGCGUCGACAGAAACACAGUUUCUCUUUUAAAAGGUAGAGGAUUUAAAAACCUGCACAAGAGCCUACUGCCUAGUGUGGCUCCCAUACCAAAGUCCGAGAAGCGAGGGAAGUGAGACCUCGAAGGAGGGUGACCUGGCUCACCGUUUUGAAGGUCUAAAUAUCCGAAUCCGGCGACAUCCUCCAAAUGCAACGGACUGCUCAUUGGCUGUCCUACCCUGCCUGUGAAAUAUUGCUUCUCCAGUAUUUCCAAUACAUCUCCAACAGGUGUGUUCCUGGUGGUCUUUGGCUGGAUGGCGUUGACAAGUUAUUAAGAGGGUCCACCGAUGGACCCAUAUGGGAACUGCGACAUGGAAUGCGUUUUAUUCUAACAAAGCCCCCCCCCCCCCGUUGGAAGACCUAUAAACGAGAAUACAAGUCAUGAAAUACCACUAUUUACAAAUAGAACUGCUCAAAAGAGAAACUAGAAAAAAAAGAGAAAAGGUUGUUGAUCUCAUAACUCCCAGAGCAAGACAGCUUAGUAAAAGGGUAGAGGGAUGGAUAUAUAUGUAUCUGCAUCUGUGUCGGUGUAUGUAUGUACAGUACACAACAGAUCCAUGAUGUUAUGUGGUGGGUGCUCACGGUAGAAAUCUUUCAACGUUGCUGUACGUGCGAAAAGAAAUUUAAGAAGAAAAAAAUGCUGCCAAGAAAAACCUCACAGAGCUAUUUGUCUCGUUCUGGGCUUUCUCCAAGGAAAUGAGACUUGAGGCAGCUUUCCCGCUACAGGCGCGUUUCCCUUUCAAGGCGAGAGAGAGAGGAGAGAGAGAGAGCGAGAGAGCGAGCGAGCCGGCGCUGACGGCAGGAAACCAGGAAACGGCGCGUGUGUGGGCGGGACAUGCAAAUUAAAGUGGCUGUUUCUCUCGCGAGCUAUGGGAGCAAAACAAUAAAAAGCGUGAAAGCCCCGAACAAGUUAAGCGAUCUGAUAAACUGAGUAUGUCUUAGGAGUUGUGACGAUGACACACUGUCCAGUCUAAGGAAAGAGGGUGAGCCUUCGUUUGAGGGUGACUUUUCUCACCGUGACCCAAAGGAGGAGUGAGAGGGAGGGUGUCGAUGCGCUGGGGAGGACGUGGUUAUCGCUUCUCGGCCUUUUGGCUAAGAUCAAGUGUAGUAUCUGUUCUUAUCAGUUUAAUAUCUGAUACGUCCUCUAUCCGAGGACAAUAUAUUAAAUGGAUUUUUGGAGCUGGGAGAUGGAAUAGGAGCUUGCUCCGUCCACUCCGCGCAUCGACCUGGUAUUGCAGUACUUCCAGGAACGGUGCACCUCCCCUUGGGAGGAAACACGCGAG